ACGAACGCUGGCGGCAUGCCUCACACAUGCAAGUCGAACGAGACCUUCGGGUCUAGUGGCGCACGGGUGCGUAACGCGUGGGAACCUGCCCUUAGGUUCGGAAUAACUCCCCGAAAGGGGUGCUAAUACCGGAUAAUGUCUUCGGACCAAAGAUUUAUCGCCUUUGGAUGGGCCCGCGUUGGAUUAGCUAGUUGGUAGGGUAAAAGCCUACCAAGGCGACGAUCCAUAGCUGGUCUGAGAGGAUGAUCAGCCACACUGGGACUGAGACACGGCCCAGACUCCUACGGGAGGCAGCAGUGGGGAAUAUUGGACAAUGGGCGAAAGCCUGAUCCAGCAAUGCCGCGUGAGUGAUGAAGGCCUUAGGGUUGUAAAGCUCUUUUACCCGAGAUGAUAAUGACAGUACCGGGAGAAUAAGCUCCGGCUAACUCCGUG
rnacentral:rRNA from 1 species